rnacentral:lncRNA from 1 species
AUAUAACAGAAACUGAAAUUCAGACCUUCUCAUGAGGUGUAUAAAGAUGACCAGAAGCUAAAAAGCACUGGGAGCAUCUAAGAAAUGUAAUAAGUUAUGUUUUUGUUGUAGCAACAUUAUUUUAAAUACAAAUUCUAUUGAGAGUCACUAUGAGGAUUUAUUAGUUAACAUUUAUAAAUCUUUUUAAGCUGCUCAGAUAAAUGGAAAAUUUAAACAGCUAUGGUCAGGAAGGCUGAAAUGGAUUUGAGCUUGGUGACAUAAAACUUUCAUCUGUUGGCCUCUUUCCUCAACAUCUGCAGGUAAACACUCACUCAUUUGAAGCUUUGGCCUUGAAGAUUUCAAAGGAAGGAGCUGAGAUAUGCUUUUUCCUCGAUUUAUGUCGUCUGGAGUUCUGGAGUGGAGCUGUUGCCCUGGGUUGGUGCGCUGAAGACCACCACUGCAGUCACAGCUGGUAAGGGGCAGCCCUGCACAGAGAGGACCAGGACAACCCCAGUCGCACCUUUCCUGCAAAUGCAGUGCCACUGGUAUCCAGAGGUUUAAACCUGACUCUUCUAGAGAGGAGGCUAGAGAACUCAGGGUGAGUAGUUUGCUGCCAUCCCCCUGUGAAGCAAAUCUCUGUGUGGUUCUACUGACUCUGCUUCCUGUGAAAGGGUGGUUACUUUCCUAUCUUGUGCCGAGUGCCAUUUUAUAUCCUCCUUGUAAUCAAUUAUUGGUUACUAAGUUCCCAUUUGUCUAGGCCAAAAAAAUGAGUAUUUAUUCCUGUUAUUUAAUCUCUACUUGGAACUUGGCCCCAAACUCUGGAAAGUAAGGUGCCUCACAUUUGCUCUUAGAACUUGCUGCUUGCUGUUGAUCUCCUGCCUUGCCCUUGCUUGGUAGGCACUCUGCUUUUGAAACUUGGACACCCUGUAUACAAGCUGCCUUCGUCUAUUCGCUUAUUCAGUCAUUUUUCCAAAACUCAACAAAGACUGAUCUCCCAAAUUAGAACUACUUUUGAACUCACGUGUUUUGUUUUGUUUUUUUCCUAUCGGUAUAUUCUCGAUCUAAUGCUCUGACAUCUGGCGUAGGUUCCCAGUUUGUACGUGUUGGCUGCUCUACUCUGACCACAUUCUGAUCCUAUCACUAGACCAAGUCUGUUUUUGAGGAUGGUAUGCAUAUGGGCUAGAUAUUAAAACAUUUGAAAAGUCAGGAACGUUUAAAGUAACUGCUCAUCAUACAAGUGUAACUUGAUUAUUGAAGAUUCUUAUGUUCUAUUUUCAAUAAAAGGUUUUUAGUGAUCCUUCA